rnacentral:lncRNA from 1 species
CGGGAAGCCCGGCCCUAUACCCAGAGCCGUGGGGACGGCCACCGUGCCACAAGGGACACGGGGACACGGUGACACCCAGCAGCGUUUUGGCAGCUGGCGAGGCUCCCCAGAGGACGCGGUGCUUGAAAAAAGCAAGGAUGAAGGUGGCACGGGGUGAGGGAGGACCCCCAGCACCCUUUCGGGGGUCACCACGGAGUGUCCCCUCCCACCGUGGGCCACCCCCUGGGAUUUGGGAGCGAGGACGAGGCCGGGGCUCAGCGCCGUGCCGGGGAGGCGUGGGGAGAGCAUCGCAGAGCUGGCCGGCGGCCCAGCCACGUCUGCGGAGCUGCCAGCUCUGCGCAGCUCCACCUGUCCUGUCCGAUGCGAUUACAGCGCGGCCAUACAGGUCAAUUAACCCGGCACACGGCACGGGCGGCCCCACCAAGCACCAGCACGAGGGGCUGCCCCGGCACCGUGGGUCCCCAGGGGGUGUCCUGUCCUGUCCCGUCUUCUCCAAUCUAUCCCAGCCCAUCCAUCCUGUUCUGUCCCAUCCCGUCCCAUCCCAUCCCAUCUCAUCCGUCCCAUCCCAUCCCAUCCAUCCUGUUCUGUUCCAUCCCGUCCCAUCCCAACCUGGUCCCAUCCAUCCUAACCUAACCCAUCCCGUCCCGUCCAUCCCAUCCCAUCUCACCCCAUCCAUCCUGUCCUGCCCCAAACCAUCUCAUCCAUCCCAUCUAUCCCAUCCCAUCCAUCCCACCCUGUUCCAUCCUAUCCCAUCCCAUCUAUCCCAUCCUAUCCAUCUUGUCCCGUCCCAUCCCAUCCAUCCUGUCCUGUCUUGUUCCAACCCAUCCCAUCCAUCCUGUUCUGUCCUGUUCCAUCCCAUCCAUCCUGUUGUCCCAACCCAUCUCAUCCAUCCCAUCUCAUCCAUCCCGCCCCAUCCCAUCCAUCUUGUCCUGUUCCACCCCAUCCCAUCCUUCCUGUCCUAUUACAUCCCAUCGCAUCUCAUCCAUCCUGCCCUGUUCCAACCCAUCCCAUCCAUCCCAUCCCAUCUCAUUUCAUCCAUCCUGCCCUGUUCCAUCUUGACCCAUCCCAUUCCAUCCGUCCUGUCCCAACCUGUCCAUCCCAACCCAUCCGAUCCCAUCCCACCCCACCCCAUCCCUGCUCACCCUUCUUGGCCCCCGCCUGCCGGAUCCUCCAGACGGUUUUGGGGAUCUCGAAGUUGUAGUUGGCGGGCAGGGCCCCCGCCGCCUCCCGCAGCUCGGGGUCACCCAGCAGCUCCUCGGGGACCUGCGUCGCCGCCCGCCGCGCUCUGCCUGCGGGAAGGGAACGGGGGUUGGCACCGUGUCCCGGGGGGGGGGACACCGGGACACCCCCGGGGCUGUGUCCGAGCUCCCGUUAGUGCCCAGCUUCCAGCCUAACUCACCCAUUUAAUUAUAUUUUUUUUGGGGGGGGCACCUUUACACCCCCAAAGCUCCCCCGUACCCGGUACCGCCCACCCGACGGCAACC